rnacentral:misc_RNA from 1 species
UUAUUUUGCAGACUGUUCAUCUUAUUCAGAACAGCACCAUGAUUUUCAUUGAACUUGUUUUCUUCUCGUUUGUGCUCUCUUCAAAAGGAGAAACAUGACAAGUUACGACCACACAUACUUGCAGCGCUUGAAGGAAAGAAAUCUUGCACGUUUCAACUGUACAACCCUUUAUGAGCCUUCAACGAACAACGCCAAAAUCACACGCUUUUACUAUGACAGUUACAGGAAAGUCUGCAGAGUGGGCAUUGUCUCUAAAGGCGAUAACUAUUUUCCCGCACUGCGUUACUGCCUCUUCAUGUGCAACACAACUAAAAUUGUCCCUGGGAGGUGUCAGAGGCCAAUGAAAAGUGGACGUUCGCCAGUUGAUGGGUGGAAGUGUCAUUACGAAACGAGGUUUAACGUACUUUUUUGCAACCAGUCGAUAAGUAAAUACACAUAAAGAAGUAUGCAAUAAACACUGUGAACUUGUAGAAAUCUCUACAAGUGAACUACGCUUCGUAUAAAAGGGCCACUUAUAAGGCUCCCAAAAUUCAAAAUACAAAAAUAGCGAAA